AAGGAGGUGAUCCAGCCGCACCUUCCGAUACGGCUACCUUGUUACGACUUCACCCCAAUCAUCUGUCCCACCUUCGGCGGCUGGCUCCAAAAAGGUUACCUCACCGACUUCGGGUGUUACAAACUCUCGUGGUGUGACGGGCGGUGUGUACAAGGCCCGGGAACGUAUUCACCGCGGCAUGCUGAUCCGCGAUUACUAGCGAUUCCAGCUUCACGCAGUCGAGUUGCAGACUGCGAUCCGAACUGAGAACAGAUUUGUGGGAUUGGCUUAACCUCGCGGUUUCGCUGCCCUUUGUUCUGCCCAUUGUAGCACGUGUGUAGCCCAGGUCAUAAGGGGCAUGAUGAUUUGACGUCAUCCCCNCCUUCCUCCGGUUUGUCACCGGCAGUCACCUUAGAGUGCCCAACUGAAUGCUGGCAACUAAGAUCAAGGGUUGCGCUCGUUGCGGGACUUAACCCAACAUCUCACGACACGAGCUGA
rnacentral:rRNA from 1 species